AAGCCGAAAGACAAGGAUUGGACCAGGGGUAUUAGAUUCUAAUGCUAUAUCCAUGUGUAAUUGCACCGUAUUCUAGUUUGCGUUGAAACCGAGCUUGCCUAGGAAUCUCAUCAAAAGCAUGGUUUUAGUGUACAUAUGGGCAAUGCUGUCAUAAACAGGACUUUAACUUGUGACAGUUGCACUAUAUAAUUCCUGAUACUGCUUGUGGAUCUCAAAAUUCAUAAAACAUUGUAGAAUAUCCAAGUAGAAACUUAGUUUCCACUUUAUAGUGAAUCCGAACUGCAUCCCAUGCUCAAAAUAAUAAUUUUUUGGAUGCCGAUAAGUUUCUGUACGUGGCCUGCUUAACAAUUUUAGCUUGAAUUCAGCUGGAAUAAAAGUUUGAUUAGGCCUGGUUCACAGUCUAUGGUU
rnacentral:lncRNA from 1 species